GUUCAUGUGAUGACUGUUUUUAAGUUCAACUGCUGAGUGAUUCAGAAAUGAACUAAAACCUAACACACUGA